GACGAACGCUGGCGGCACGCCUAACACAUGCAAGUCGAACGGACUGAAAAGAGCUUGCUUUUUUAAGCUAGUGGCGGACGGGUGAGUAACACGUGAGCAACCUGCCUCUGAGAGGGGGAUAGCUUCUGGAAACGGAUGGUAAUACCCCAUAAAAUAUAAAUAUCGCAUGAUAGAUAUAUCAAAGAAAUUCGCUCAGAGAUGGGCUCGCGUCUGAUUAGAUAGUUGGUGAGGUAACGGCUCACCAAGUCGACGAUCAGUAGCCGGACUGAGAGGUUGAACGGCCACAUUGGGACUGAGACACGGCCCAGACUCCUACGGGAGGCAGCAGUGGGGAAUAUUGCACAAUGGAGGGAACUCUGAUGCAGCGAUGCCGCGUGGAGGAAGAAGGUUUUCGGAUUGUCAACUCCUUUUAUCAGGGACGAUAAUGACGGUACCUGAAGAAAAAGCUCCGGCUAACUACGUG
rnacentral:rRNA from 1 species